CCUACGGGGGGCAGCAGUGGGGAAUAUUGGACAAUGGGGGCAACCCUGAUCCAGCCAUGCCGCGUGUGUGAAGAAGGCCCUCGGGUUGUAAAGCACUUUCAGUGAGGAAGAACGCCUGGUGGUUAAUACCCAUCAGGAAAGACAUCACUCACAGAAGAAGCACCGGCUAAACUCCGUGCCAGCAGCCGCGGUAAUACGGAGGGUGCGAGCGUUAAUCGGAAUUACUGGGCGUAAAGCGCGCGUAGGUGGCUUGAUAAGCCGGUUGUGAAAGCCCCGGGCUCAACCUGGGAACGGCAUCCGGAACUGUCAAGCUAGAGUGCAGGAGAGGAAGGUAGAAUUCCCGGUGUAGCGGUGAAAUGCGUAGAGAUCGGGAGGAAUACCAGUGGCGAAGGCGGCCUUCUGGACUGACACUGACACUGAGGUGCGAAAGCGUGGGUAGCAAACAGGAUUAGAUACCCCAGUAGUC
rnacentral:rRNA from 1 species